rnacentral:rRNA from 1 species
GACGAACGCUGGCGGCGUGCUUAACACAUGCAAGUCGAACGGAAAGGCCCUGCUUUUGUGGGGUGCUCGAGUGGCGAACGGGUGAGUAACACGUGAGUAACCUGCCCUUGACUUUGGGAUAACUUCAGGAAACUGGGGCUAAUACCGGAUAGGAGCUCCUGCUGCAUGGUGGGGGUUGGAAAGUUUCGGCGGUUGGGGAUCGACUCGCGGCUUAUCAGCUUGUUGGUGGGGUAGUGGCUUACCCAGGCUUUGACGGGUAGCCGGCCUGGGAGGGUGACCGGCCACAUUGGGACUGAGAUACGGCCCAGACGCCUACGGGAGGCAGCAGUGGGGAAUAUUGCACAAUGGGCGGAAGCCUGAUGCAGCAACGCCGCGUGCGGGAUGACGGCCUUCGGGUUGUAAACCGCUUUCGCCUGUGACGAAGCGUGAGUGACGGUAAUGGGUAAAGAAGCACCGGCUAACUACGUG